GAUGAACGCUGGCGGCGUGCCUAAUACAUGCAAGUCGAGCGAACGGACGAGAAGCUUGCUUCUCUGAUGUUAGCGGCGGACGGGUGAGUAACACGUGGAUAACCUACCUAUAAGACUGGGAUAACUUCGGGAAACCGUAGCUAAUACCGGAUAAUAUUUUGAACCGCAUGGUUCAAAAGUGAAAGACGGUCUUGCUGUCACUUAUAGAUGGAUCCGCGCUUCAUUAGCUAGUUGGUAAGUUAACGGCUUACCAAGGCAACUGUGCAUAGCCGACCUGAGAGGGUGAUCGGCCACACUGGAACUGAGACACGGUCCAGACUCCUACGGGAGGCAGCAGUAGGGAAUCUUCCGCAAUGGGCGAAAGCCUGACGGAGCAACGCCGCUUGAGUGAUGAAGGUCUUCGGAUCGUAAAACUCUGUUAUUAGGGAAGAACAUAUGUGUAAGUAACUGUGCACAUCUUGACGGUACCUAAUCAGAAAGCCACGGCUAACUACGUG
rnacentral:rRNA from 1 species